AGAGAGGAAAGAUAGGAGAGGAAGAUGGAGUUUGAGAUUUUGGAGAAGAAGGAUUAAUAAGAUAAUCACUAUAGGCUCGAUGGAAUUGAGGUGCCCGUACCGAGGAUAUACGGAUAGGUGGGGCACGACUCAAGGAUACUCGUGCAACGGUAGUAUGAAUUUAUAAAUGAAUGGAUAUGCGUGUUUGAAUGGCGGUGCCCGUAUCGAGGAUAUACGGAUAGGUGGGUCACAACCCAAGAAUACUCAUGCAACGGUAGUUUGAAUUUAUAAAUGAAUGGAUAUACGUGUUUGAAUGGCGGUGCCCGUACCGAGGAUAUACGGAUAGGUGGGGCACGACCCAAGGAUACUCGUGCAACUGAGGUUGGUGUUUCCGUGCCGAGGAUACACGGAUAGGAGGGGCACGAACCUACAAUACUCGUGCAUUUAAGAGAAUUUGAUAGAUUGUGAGUUAAGUUGAUGAAUAUACAUAUAUUUAAAUUAUUGAAGUUGCACCGUAUACUCUUGUUGUACAUAUUCUCUUUGAUUGGUUGGUAUGUUUUCAUAUGUUUUGAGAAAGGAAAUGCAUUCUAUUGAGUUGUCAUCUCACCCCAAUUGACAUUCCUUACAGAUUAUUGAAAGUUGGAAGUGGAAGCUAGAAAUGAGUUACUUA